UACGUAGGGUCCAAGCGUUGUCCGGAUUUAUUGGGCGUAAAGAGCUCGUAGGCGGCUCAGUAAGUCGGAUGUGAAAACUCGGGGCUCAACCCCGAGACGCCAUCCGAUACUGCUGUGGCUUGAGUCUGGUAGGGGAACACGGAAUUCCUGGUGUAGCGGUGAAAUGCGCAGAUAUCAGGAGGAACACCGAUGGCGAAGGCGGUUGGCUGGGCCGUGGCUGACACUGAGGCGCGAAAGCGUGGGGAGCAAACAGG
rnacentral:rRNA from 1 species